rnacentral:rRNA from 1 species
UAUCGAACAAAUAUCCCCGAUGACGGUACCGUGAGAAUAAGCCACGGCUAACUCUGUGCCAGCAGCCGCGGUAAGACAGAGGUGGCAAGCGUUGUUCGGAAUUACUGGGCGUAAAGAGUCUGUAGGUGGUUUGUCAAGUCUUUGGUGAAAGGCCGUAGCUUAACUAUGGGAAUGCCAAAGAGACUGGCAGGCUGGAGGCUGGGAGAGGGAAGCGGAAUUUCUGGUGUAGCGGUGAAAUGCGUAGAUAUCAGAAGGAAGGCCGGUGGCGAAGGCGGCUUCCUGGAACAGUCCUGACACUGAGAGACGAAAGCGUGGGGAGCAAACAGGAUUAGAUACCCUGGUAGUCCACGCCCUAAACGAUGGGUACUAAGUGUGGAGGGUUAAACCCUCGUGCCGCAGCAAACGCAGUAAGUACCCCG